rnacentral:rRNA from 1 species
UACGAAGGGGGCUAGCGUUGCUCGGAAUCACUGGGCGUAAAGGGUGCGUAGGCGGCGGGGUAAGUCUGAUGUGAAAUCCCGGGGCUCAACCCCGGAAUGGCAUUGGAUACUGCCUUGCUAGAGAACUGGAGAGGAGACUGGAAUUUACGGUGUAGCAGUGAAAUGCGUAGAGAUCGUAAGGAAGACCAGUGGCGAAGGCGAGUCUCUGGACAGUUCCUGACGCUGAGGCACGAAGGCCAGGGGAGCAAACGGG